rnacentral:rRNA from 1 species
UACGUAGGGGGCAAGCGUUGUCCGGAAUCAUUGGGCGUAAAGAGCGUGUAGGCGGCUCGGUAAGUCCGCUGUGAAAGUCCAGGGCUCAACCCUGGAAUGCCGGUGGAAACUGUCGAGCUAGAGUCCGGAAGAGGCGAGUGGAAUUCCUGGUGUAGCGGUGAAAUGCGCAGAUAUCAGGAGGAACACCGGUGGUGUAAACGGCUUUCUGGACCAUAACUGACACUGAGGCACGAAAGCGUGGGUAGCAAACAGG